UUUCCAGCCCUACUGAUAAAGUUGGCCAGCGAUGGUGGAUUACGAAAUAGGCCGGACGUGAAUUCAGCAUUAAAGAAAUCCACUGGUGGCUUUAAGAUAUGUGUAGGUGGAUGAGUAAAAAAGGUCGGAGUGCUUUGAGAUAUGCGUAGUGGGUGAUCCAAUGGUGGAUUUAUAUGAAGCCGGACAUCCACGUUGAACUCCGGAUCAAAACCUUCCCAUGUGGUUUCUCUAGGAUCCAAAUCUCCCACACUUUGCCUCAUGCGGUGAGUGAUCGCAUGUGGACUCUGAUC
rnacentral:lncRNA from 1 species